UACGGAGGGUGCAAGCGUUUAAUCGGAAUUACUGGGCGUAAAAGGGUGCGUAGGUGGUUUUAUUUAAGAUAGUUUGUGAAAAUUCCUGGGCUCAACCUGGGUCGGUCAACUGUGACUGAUAGACUGGAGUAUAGGAGAGGUAGGUGAAUUUUCCGGUGUAGCGGUGAAAUGCGUAGAGAUCGGAAAGGAACACCAGUUGCGAAGGCGGCUACCUGCCUGAUACUGACACUGAGGCACGAAAGCGUGGGGGAGCAAACAGG
rnacentral:rRNA from 1 species